rnacentral:rRNA from 1 species
UACGUAGGGUGCGAGCGUUAAUCGGAAUUACUGGGCGUAAAGCGUGCGCAGGCGGUCUGUUAAGACCGAUGUGAAAUCCCCGGGCUUAACCUGGGAACUGCAUUGGUGACUGGCAGGCUUUGAGUGUGGCAGAGGGAGGUAGAAUUCCACGUGUAGCAGUGAAAUGCGUAGAGAUGUGGAGGAACACCGAUGGCGAAGGCAGUGUCCUGGGGAGUACCUGACGCUCAGGUGCGAAAGCCAGGGGAGCGAACGGG